AUUAAUACGAGGAAUUGAGGAUUGACUAUUUUGGGUAUGAAAAUUGAGGAUUGACAUAAAUUGGGUAAAAUUGGAUGAAUUGACAGAUGAGGAAUGAAAAAAAUCUUUUGAACACCCAACAUCACUAGUUCACUGCUAGUCUUAAACUCUUACCAGACUACCAGAGAUCCAUUGAUUCCCCAUCUACAAGUGUGAUCUUGAAGCUGAUGAUGAAGUAGAUGAACUCUGCAACAAAAAAAAUAGUCAUUAAUGAAAGGGAAGGCAGCUUGAAAUUCCUUUGCUAUUGCAAGUGCAUUUCCAUAUCCUGUUAAAUCCUGAAGCCUGAAAAUAACACAAGUGUUCAAUUACCAUAGCUUAAGCCAAAAUGGAUUCACUGAAGACUAAAGUUAACAAGUUUUGGUGCCAAAUACGGUAACAAGGUGGAAAAGAUUACUGGAAAGGGCCCAUAGGCAGUCCAAAGUCGGUAACAACUCUGUCGAUCCUGAAAAUGUCAACUCCCAAGUUUGCCAAAAGAUCAGCACUCUGAAAGUACGGGAAGAAAGUUCUGUUCACCGCAUAUCCAGUACAGGUACCAACGACUAUAGGCACUUUUCUUAUUGCUCUUGCAAAUGCGAUGAGAUCAUGAAUAACUUGUGCUGAUGUCU